AAUCUCAAGAAGUGUCGUUCCGCUUCGGACCAUGCCUAANUCCCUUGGAAAAGGGCAUCAUAGAGGGUGAUAAUCCCGUACAUGGCAUGGAGCGCCCGAAGCUUUGUGAUACGCUUUCUAAGAGUCGAGUUGUUUGGGAAUGCAGCUCAAAAUGGGUGGUAAAUGCCAUCUAAGGCUAAAUAUUGGGGAGAGACCGAUAGCGAACAAGUACAGUGAUGGAAAGAUGAAAAGAACUUUGAAAAGAGAGUUAAACAGUACGUGAAAUUGCCAAAAGGGAAGGGUAGGAGGUCAGAGAUGCGGCCUGGGAUUCAGCCUUGCUUUUGCUUGGUGUUUUUCCCAGAUUGCAGGCCAACGUCGGUUUUGGGCACUGGAGAAGGGUAGGAGGAACGUGGCACCUCUCGGGGUGUGUUAUAGCCUCCUACUGGAUACAGCGACCGAGACCGAGGACAGCAGCGUACUCGCAAGAGCGGGCCUUCGGGCACCUUUACGCUUAGGGCGUUGGCAUAAUGGCCCUCUACCACCCGUCUUG
rnacentral:rRNA from 1 species